rnacentral:rRNA from 1 species
UGGGGAAUAUUGGACAAUGGGCGCAAGCCUGAUCCAGCAAUGCCGCGUGUGUGAAGAAGGCCUGCGGGUUGUAAAGCACUUUAAGCAGGGAAGAAUGGACUAAGGUUAAUACCCUUGGUCAGUGACGUUACCUGCAGAAUAAGCACCGGCUAACUCCGUGCCAGCAGCCGCGGUAAUACGGAGGGUGCGAGCGUUAAUCGGAAUUACUGGGCGUAAAGCGCGCGUAGGCGGUUGGCUAAGUUUGCUGUGAAAGCCCCGGGCUUAACCUGGGAACUGCAGUGAAUACUGGUCAGCUAGAGUAUGGUAGAGGGUAGUGGAAUUUCCGGUGUAGCAGUGAAAUGCGUAGAGAUCGGAAGGAACACCAGUGGCGAAGGCGGCUAUCUGGACCAAUACUGACGCUGAGGUGCGAAAGCGUGGGGAGCAAACA